GACGAACGCUGGCGGCGUGCUUAACACAUGCAAGUCGAACGGAAAGGCCCUGCUUUUGUGGGGUGCUCGAGUGGCGAACGGGUGAGUAACACGUGAGUAACCUUCCCUUGACUUUGGGAUAACUUCAGGAAACUGGUGCUAAUACCGGAUAGGUGCUCCUGCUGCAUGGUGGGGGUUGGAAAGUUUCGGCGGUUGGGGAUGGACUCGGGGCUUAUCAGCUUGUUGGUGGGGUAGUGGCUUACCAAGGCUUUGACGGGUAGCCGGCCUGAGAGGGUGACCGGUCCGAUGGGGACUGAGGUACGGCCCAGAAGGCUACGGGAGGCAGCAGUGGGGAAUAUUGUACAGUGGGCGCGAGCCUGAUGCAGCAACGCCGCGUGCGGGAUGAAGGCCUUCGGGUGGUAAACCGCUUUCGCCUGUUACGAAGCGGGAGUGACGGUAAUGGGUAAAGAAGCACCGGCUAACUACGUG
rnacentral:rRNA from 1 species